rnacentral:rRNA from 1 species
GACGAACGCUGGCGGCGUGCUUAACACAUGCAAGUCGAACGGAAAGGCCCCUUUGGUGGUACUCGAGUGGCGGACGGGGGAGUAACACGUGAGUAACCUUCCCUUGACUUCGGGAUAACUUCAGCAAACUGAGGCUAAUACCGGUUAGGAAUCCUUUCUGCAUGGGCGGGGUUGGAAAGCUUCGGCGGGUUUGGAUGGACUGGCGGCUUAUCUGCUUGCUGGUGGGGUAGUGGGUUACCGAGGCGUCGUAGGGUAGCCGGACUGAGUAGGCGACCGGCCACCCUGGGUCUUAGAGACGGCACAGACACCUACGGGAGGGAGCAGGGGGGAAUACUGCCGAAGGGGCGGCAGGCUGAUGAAGCAAGGCCUCGGGCGGGAUGACGCCCUUCGGGGUGAAAACCGCUUUCAGAAGGAGCGAAGCUUGUGGUGACGGUACCUGCAGAAGAAGCACCGGCUAACUACGUG